rnacentral:rRNA from 1 species
UAAAAGUUUUAUUUUGGCUUAGGUUAAGUUGUAGUUUUAAAUUUAUAUGUAAUUUAUUUCAGUAUAAAAUUUUAUUAAUAGAAAUUUAAAUAGUUUAAAAUUUAUAAAUAGUUAAAUAUUGUGCCAGCAGCUGCGGUUAAACAUGGUUUUAAAGACUUAAUUUUAAUGUAUUAUUAUUAUUUUAUUAAUAAGAUGAAAUUUUAAAUUAAAAAAAUAAAAAGAUGAUAAGGUAAUUAUAAAAAAUAGGAUUAGAUACCCUAGUAUUAUUAUUUUUAUAAUAUAAAUUAAUGGUUAAAUUAAAAAAUUUGGCGGUAUUUAGUCUUUUUAGAGGAACUUGUAAAUUAAACGAUAAUCCGCGAGAAAUUUACUUUUUGUAUUUUUGUAUAUCGUUGUAUAAAAUAUUUUUUGAAAAUAAUAUUUUAAAUUCAAAUCAUGAUGCAGAAUAAAAAAGAUUUUAUGAGUUACAAUUAAUAAAUUAAUAAUGGAUAGCUGUUUUUAAUAAUAGCUAGAAGGUGGAUUUAAAAGUAUAAAGUGUUAGAAUUAAUUUUAGAAAAAGGAAUUAAAUAUGCACACAUCGCCCGUCGCUCUCAGAUUGAGAUAAGUCGUAACAAAGUAAAUGUAUUGGAAAGUGCAUUUAGAAAA